UUGUUUUUCUCAGAAUAUCUCCCACUACUGCACACAGACAAAACUUUGUUUCCUUAAAAUAUCCUCUUUCACACAUUACCAAAGAAGAUAACGUUGAAUUAUAAAAUAUAGCCAAUUUAAGGAGAAAAUAGAAAAAGAAGGGGGAAAAAGAACAGAUGCAUCAAACAGUCUCACAGCUCUGCGAUGGGGAGACAGGUGGAACACUCUACCAGGUAGCCCAGGAUGUGAACUUCCUGUUGGACGACAUGAAGCAGAGAGACUAAGUGAUCCCCAUCCUACCCAUGACUUGUUUCUGCAAACAGAGGCACAGAAACUGCACAACAACAAAAUAGAGCUUUAGGACUUGAAAACUUCCGCUGUGUAUUUGAGUAAUCAUCUACUUUCAAGGAUAAAUGAACUGCAGAGUUUCCCAAACAUGGAACGUUUGAAAGAAGAAAGCAAAAAAGACAAAGGGUUAACUCAUUACUUCUGUACAAAGAAAAAGUGAGAAACUAAGAAAAACCAGAGGACAACAAAAAACACGAGGAUAACAAAGGACAAGGAGAAUGAGAAGAAAGUUAUUCAAAGGGCGUUAAAGAAGAAAAGGAGAUGGCAGGAACAAAACCUUUGAGUUAAGAACUAUGAACGGAGAAAAAGGAUUCUUCCCAUCCACAAUCCACUAGGACAGCUAUUACAGAAUUGAAAACACCAUAAAAUAGGAAAUGUUGAUCAUGAUGCAAAAAACUUGCAGUUCUUUUGUAUUGCUGGGGGGAAAACAAAAUGUCAUGGCUGCUGUGGAAAAUAAUUUGGCGGGUCUUCAAAAAGUUGAAGAUAGAAUUACAAUAUAAUUUAGCAAGUCCCACCCCUUGAAGUGGAGCAGAAGAAUUGAAAAUAGAGAAUCAGCAGUUAAGUGUGCACUCAUGUUAAUCACCAAUAUUUCACCAAAAAGUGAAAAUGAUUCAAAGUGUUAUGCUUUAACCUGUAUUGUUAUGUUGUUAUGCCCCCUUUUAUCUCAUGCUCUCUCUUAUUCAUUAAAAAAUCAUUUAAUUUUUUAAAAAAAUAUAUCAACCAAUAAAAAAUGCUCCUGGUUCUAUAGGGAAAAAGAAACUCUUUACAACUGUUGGUUAGAGAGUAGAUUAAUAUGAACACUGUGGAAAUCAGUGUGGAGAUUCCUCAAAAACUUAGGAUUAGAGGUCAACCCAGGUAUUCCCCUUCUGUGUAUCUUCCCAGAAUGAUUGAAAAACAUCACACUACAGUGACAUAUGUGAAACCAUAAGGUUCAAAAUAUACAAUAGUCACUGUGAAAUGGAAGGAAACUGUUUAAUAAAAAGAAGAAACUAAGACAGGAGAAAAGAGAAAGGAUAGAAGGGAAAAAAAAGUGCAAGUUAGUUAUACCAUUAGUGUCACUUAGUUCACUGAAUAGGAAAGGUUGUGCUAAUAUUGAUUGAAGUAAUUUUUAUGCCCAUAUUUUGUACUUGAGUGACUAAAGAUAAUGUGUGAUUUAUUAACAAUUGUUACUUUUUCAUUAUUUUGUUGUGAAAAUUUGCCUUACCUUUUCUUCUUAAUAUUAAUAAAUAAAGUA